CAAAAGCAACCCUUCUUGCUCCAGGCAUGUGCAGGAGGUUUUUUGGUUUCAGCAUUUUGUUGCAUGCUGACUAUGUCCUUUACCUUCUCUUAAAUUAUGUAUCAAUUCAUGCUGGUUUAUUCACUUCCUGAUGUCUAUAUGAAGAGGCUGUCUGCCAACAUCUUUCAUCACUCUGCCUGCAACUAUGAAAAAUUUAGUUCUAAAAAAUGCAACCUUGCUAAAUUGAGUACUAAUAGGAUUGGUUCAAUUAUGUUCUAUGUCUGUUCCAUAUUGACAUUGUGUGCAUCUUUGCCAUGCAGGCUUUUUAGGAAUUAUCGCAUCUCUAACUUCCCACGAGUGUUUAUGAAAAUGUUUAGAUUUAAAGAACUUUAUUGCUUUAGACAGAAUAAGGCAUGCAGUUCUAACAGAAAGAUCCAUGAAUUCCAGAAAUAUCACUGAAAAUUAUUGACAUUUAAGAUUAUUUUCUGUUUGUUACUAUGGUUCACAAUUCAAGAAUAACUCUGGCCAGGUGCAGUAGCUCACACCCUGUAAUCCCAGCACUUUGGGAGGCUGAGGUAGGCAGAUCACUUGAGCUCAAGAGUUCAAGACCAGCCUGGGAAACAUGGCAAACUCCCACCAUUACAAAAAAAUACAAAAAUUAGUUGGUCAUGGUGGUGUUCACCUAUAGUCCCAGUGACUUGGGAGGCUGGGAUGGGAGGAUCUCUUGAGCCCAGGAGAUGCAGGCUUGCAGUGAGCCAUGAUCAUGCCACUGUACUGCAGACUGGGUGAAACAGCAAGAUCUUGUCUGAAAAGAAAAAAAAAAGUAAAAGAAAAAGAAAAGAAAAUAACUCCCAUUGCUAAAGACAUAUAUGCUUAUCAGGUUAAGAUAAAGUGAAUUUUGUUCUUCCCAAUGACAUUUCAGGAUAUUUGUUCACAGGAAAGAACAUGUUGGGAAUUGGUACUGGCUAGAAAUUUCUGUUGAGUAUUUAUUACCCCAUGGUAAUAAUGGUAAACCACAGUUUAGAAAGAUUUUUUUUUUGACAGCCACAGCAUGUUCCGAAGAGAUGAUUGGAAGAUGGAAGUGGAGGGUUAAAUAAUGAAAUGCAGCUAACAUUUCGGAAAGUUUCUAAAAGUUGUACAACAUGCCCUACAGCUACUCUUUAAAUCUCCAAAUCAAAUGAGUUUCAGGUGGAGCCUCUGGGAGGUGAUGAGGUCAUGAGAGUGGAGCCUCAUGAAUGGGAUGAGCACUCCUACAAAAAGGAUUCCAGAGAGCUCGCUUGCUCCUUCCACAGUGUGAGGACACAGAGGGAAGGCUCUGUCUAUGAAUGAGAAAGUGGGUCCCCACCAGACAUUGAAUCUGCCGCAUCUUGAUACUGGACUUCCAGUCUCCAGAACUGUGGGCAAUAAAUGUCUGUUGUUUAUUACCUGUCCAGUAUCUUUGGUAUUUUGCUAUAGCAACCCAAAUGGACUAAGAAAACACCAGAGGCCAUACCUAAUAAAAAUAUUGACAUCACAA
ensembl:lncRNA TTTY14 testis expressed transcript, Y-linked 14